CACGGGGGGAGCAAGCGUUGUUCGGAAUCACUGGGCGUAAAGGGCGUGCAGGCGGUCAGGUAAGUGGGAUGUGAAAUGCCCCGGCUCACCCGGGGACCGGCAUCUCAUACUGCUUGGCUUGAGUACGGGAGAGGAUGUGGGAAUUCCUGGUGUAGCGGUGAAAUGCGUAGAUAUCAGGAGGAACACCGGUGGCGAAGGCGCACAUCUGGCCCGAUACUGACGCUGAGACGCGAAAGCGUGGGGAGCGAACAGG
rnacentral:rRNA from 1 species